CGGAGCGUGGCGAAAUAGCAGACGCGCUGGCCUUGGGAGCCAGUGGGCAGUAACCGUUUAGCGCGGUGCCCGUGCGGGUGCAAAUCCCGUCGCUCCGA
rnacentral:tRNA from 1 species